GAUGAAGAACGCAGCGAAAUGCGAUACUUGGGGUGAAUUGCAGAAUCCCGUGAACCAUCGAGUCUUUGAACGCAAGUUGCGCCCGAAGCCAUUAGGCCGAGGGCACGCCUGCCUGGGCGUCACACGUCGUUGCCCCCCCAUCUACUCCUUCGGGAUUGCGGGGGGCGGAUGAUGGCCUCCCGUGCGCCUCGCCGCGCGGUUGGCAUAAAUGCCAAGUCCUCGGCGACGCACGCCACGACAAUCGGUGGUUGCGAAACCUCGGUUGCCCGUCGUGUGCGGUCGUCGCGCAUCGAGGGCUCGAAAAAAUUGCCGGGUUCCGGCUCGGCUUUCAACGCGACCCCAGGUCAGGCGGGGUUACCCGCUGAAUUUAAGCAUAUCAAUAAGCGGAGGA
rnacentral:misc_RNA from 1 species